rnacentral:lncRNA from 1 species
AAAUUUCAUGUUUGAAUUUUGUUAAUUGUAAGUGAAUUUUAUUAAAUAGGACUUAUGUGAGAAAAUUUAGAAAUGUGCUAGACAAAUGUAAAGUGGCCUAUUAAUGCAUGUUAGGAAAAUGAUGGGUUUGCAUGUCAAAUUACCCAAAAUUAGAGCUAGUGGCCGGCCAUGCUAUGGGGUGAAACAUGUUGGAAACAUGUUGUGUUAG